GACUACUCCGUAUCUACCAUUCUCUCUCUACUGUUACACUUCCCUAAAAUUGGUUUUCCAGGGCUUCUUGUUUUCAGAAUGGUGGAAACACAAUCAAGUCAACCUAGUGAACCUUUAAGGUACGAGUUUAGACAAAGAUCGAGCAAAACAAUGGCAGAAGAGGACAGCCCAAUUGAGGAAACAUCCUCAAAGAGUAGAGUUGCGAAGAAAAGCCCUCCUCCAAAAACUCCUCCACAGAAGAGAGGUGCACAAAAAGGGCCUACAAAGAAGAGACUUAUACAAACCACCAAAAGCCCUCAAAAGAAAAAACGUGCAAAAGCUCCAACAAAAUACUUCCAAUAUCGAUCAAACCAUCGACCCUUCUUCGAGUUGAUUGAUAAGAAGACAUUCUUAACUGGACAAAUUGAAGCAUUGAAGAAGACACCAUUUUGGUUGCUCUU